rnacentral:rRNA from 1 species
UACGAAGGGUGCAAGCGUUGUUCGGAAUUACUGGGCGUAAAGCGCGCGUAGGCGGAAUCAUAAGUUAGAAGUGAAAUCCCGAGGCUCAACCUCGGAACUGCUUUUAAUACUGUGAUUCUUGAAUAUGUGAGGGGUCAGUGGAAUUCCUAGUGUAGAGGUGAAAUUCGUAGAUAUUAGGAAGAACACCAGUGGCGAAGGCGACUCACUGGAUCAAUACUGACGCUGAGGUGCGAAAGCGUGGGGAGCAAACAGG